rnacentral:rRNA from 1 species
GACGAACGCUGGCGGCGUGCCUAAUACAUGCAAGUAGAACGCACAGUUUAUACCGUAGCUUGCUACACCAUAGACUGUGAGUUGCGAACGGGUGAGUAACGCGUAGGUAACCUGCCUGGUAGCGGGGGAUAACUAUUGGAAACGAUAGCUAAUACCGCAUAAUAUUAAUUAUUGCAUGAUAAUUAAUUGAAAGGUGCAAUUGCACCACUACCAGAUGGACCUGCGUUGUAUUAGCUAGUAGGUGAGGUAACGGCUCACCUAGGCGACGAUACAUAGCCGACCUUGUAGGGUGAUCGGCCACACUGGGACUGAGACACGGCCCAGACUCCUACGGGAGGCAGCAGUAGGGAAUCUUCGGCAAUGGACGAAAGUCUGACCGAGCAACGCCGCGUGAGUGAAGAAGGUUUUCGGAUCGUAAAGCUCUGUUGUAAGAGAAGAACGGGUGUGAGAGUGGAAAGUUCACACUGUGACGGUAUCUUACCAGAAAGGGACGGCUAACUACGUG